AAAUACUACCCAGUGACCGAUAGCGUAUAGUACUGUGAAGGAAAGGUGAAAAGAACCCCGGGAGGGGAGUGAAAAGAACCUGAAACCUUGUGCUUACAAGCACACAAAGCACGUCAAAGUGUGAUGUGGUACCUUUUGUAGAAUGGUCCGGCGAGUGAAUGUAACUGGCGAGGUUAAGUUCUUAAGGAACGGAGCCGAAGCGAAAGCGAGUCUGAAUAGGGCGAUUCAGUCAGUUGUAUUCGACCCGAAACCGGGUGACCUAUCCAUGUCCAGGAUGAAGUUAAGGUAAAACUUGAUGGAGGUCCGAACCCACGGUCGUUGAAAUGCCCGGGGAUGAGAUGUGGAUAGCGGAGAAAUUCCAAUCGAACCCGGAUAUAGCUGGUUCUCUCCGAAAUAGCUUUAGGGCUAGCCUCGACUGAACAUUACCGGAGGUAGAGCGCUGAAUGGGCUAGGGGCCGAGAGGUUACUGAACCCUAUCAAACUUCAAAUGCCGGAAAAUGAUAGUCGGGAGUCAGACUGCGUGAGAUAAGUUUCGUAGUCGAAAGGGAAACAGCCCAGACCCACAGCUAAGGUCCCAAAGUACGGUUAAGUGGAAAAGGAUGUGGAGCUGCACAGACAACCAGGAUGUUGGCUUAGAAGCAGCCACUCAUUAAAAGAGUGCGUAAUAGCUCACUGGUCGAGUGACUCUGCGCCGAAAAUUUAACGGGGCUAAACUAUACACCGAAGCUUGGGAUACAUCUAAUGUAUGGUAGGAGAGCGUUCUGUAUGGGGAGAAGUCGUAGCGAAAGCGGCGGUGGACUGUACAGAAGUGAGAAUGCCGGAAUAAGUAGCGAGAAUUAAGUGAGAAUCUUAAUGGCCGAAAGUCUAAGGUUUUUGGAGGAAGGUUCGUCCGCUCCAAGUAAGUCGGGAGCUAAGGUCAGGCCGAAAGGCGUAGCCGAUGCACAUACGGUUGAUAUUCCGUAACCAUCUGUAAUUUAAGCAAAGGGACACUUCAAAAGGGUGUGACCCGGGCGUUGGUUGACCCGGGCGUAAGGGACCGAAAUUAGAGUAGGGAAGCACACUUGGCUGAAGGCGAGAAAAGCUUUGCGUAUAGAAGCAGAUGCCCGUACCGCAAACCGACACAGGUGGACAGGAAGAGAAUUCUAAGGCCAGCGGGAGAAGGGUAGUUAAGGAACUCGGCAAAUUGACUCCGUAACUUCGGAAUAAGGAGUGCUCGAAAGAGCCGCAGAGAAUAGGCCCAGGCGACUGUUUAGCAAAAACACAGGUCUCUGCCAAAUCGAAAGAUGAAGUAUAGGGGCUGACACCUGCCCGGUGCCGGAAGGUUAAGAGGAGGAGUGAGAGCUCCGAAUUGAAGCCCCGGUAAACGGCGGCCGUAACUAUAACGGUCCUAAGGUAGCGAAAUUCCUUGUCAGGUAAGUUCUGACCCGCACGAAAGGCGUAAUGAUUUGGGCGCUGUCUCGACAAUGUCCCCGGCGAAAUUGUAGUACUAGUGAAGAUGCUAGUUACCUGCGAUAAGACAGAAAGACCCUAUGGAGCUUUACUGCAGUUUGAUACUGGGUUUCGAUGAUUUAUGUACAGGAUAGUUGGGAGACUAUGAAAGAGAGGCGUCAGCUUCUCCGGAGUCGUUGUUGGGAUACCAACCUUAAGUUAUUGAAAUUCUAACUUGUAAUCGUAAACCGGUUAGAGGACAAUGUCAGACGGGCAGUUUGACUGGGGCGGUCGCCUCCUAAAGAGUAACGGAGGCGCCCAAAGGUUUCCUCAGCGCGGACAGAAAUCGCGCGAAAGAGUGCAAAGGCAGAAGGAAGCUUAACUGAGAGACAGACAUGUCGACCAGAUACGAAAGUAGGGCUUAGUGAUCCGGUGGUUGUAAAUGGAAAUGCCAUCGCUCAACGGACAAAAGUUACCCUGGGGAUAACAGGCUUAUCUCCCCCAAGAGUUCACAUCGACGGGGAGGUUUGGCACCUCGAUGUCGGCUCAUCGCAUCCUGGAGCGGAAGUACGUUCCAAGGGUUGGGCUGUUCGCCCAUUAAAGCGGUACGCGAGCUGGGUUCAGAACGUCGUGAGACAGUUCGGUCCUUAUCUAUCGCAGGCGUAAGAUAUUUGAAGAGUGCUGUCCUUAGUACGAGAGGACCAGGAUGGACAUACCAAUGGUGUAUCAGUUGUCUCACCAGAGGCACGGCUGAGUAGCUAAGUAUGGAUUGGAUAAACGCUGAAAGCAUCUAAGUGUGAAGCCAACUCUAAGAUAAGAUAUCUCAUAUCGU
rnacentral:rRNA from 1 species